rnacentral:ncRNA from 2 species
AAAUAUCUUCAGGGCGAGGCGAAAUUCCUCACCGGCGGUAAAGCCCGCGAGCCAAAUUUUUGGUUGACUUGGUGAAAUUCCAAGGCCGACAGUUAAAGUCUGGAUGGAAGAAGAUCAUA